rnacentral:rRNA from 1 species
UCGGGAAUUUUGGGCAAUGGGCGAAAGCCUGACCCAGCAACGCCGCGUGAAGGAUGAAGUAUUUCGGUAUGUAAACUUCGAAAGAAUAGGAAGGAUAAAUGACGGUACUAUUUAUAAGGUCCGGCUAACUACGUGCCAGCAGCCGCGGUAAUACGUAGGGACCAAGCGUUGUUCGGAUUUACUGGGCGUAAAGGGCGCGUAGGCGGCAAUUCAAGUCAUCUGUGAAAUCUCCGGGCUUAACCUGGGAACGGCAUUUGAAACUGGCGAGCUAGAGUUGAGUAGAGGGGAGUGGAAUUUCAGGUGUAGCGGUGAAAUGCGUAGAGAUCUGAAGGAACACCAGUGGCGAAGGCGGCUCCCUGGACUCAAACUGACGCUGAGGUACGAAAGCGUGGGUAGCAAACAGGAUUAGAUACCCCAGUAGUCCCUGAGCGGGCUGGCAAGGCGCAU